GAGACUGCAUCUAGUCAGAGCAGGUCAUUAAGCUCAAGCAAAAGUUCACUGAAGCAAAAGCAUCUAUUGUUUAUCUCACAAAAUAACUGGAGGGUUCUCCAGAAAGAGUGGAGCAAAAGGUAAAUUACCUAGUGGAAAUGUCAGCAGGAAGGGACUGCACACUAGGAUCUUUUUCAUGUACAAUUGACAACAGCUAAAAAUAAAUCGAACAUGGCAAUGGCUCCCUAUGUUUCUGUAGCCCCAGGAUGCUACUUUCAUUUUAAUAAAUGAUUGAACAAAGUGUUUAACUUCUUUCUGUUUUCAGGUUGAUAUUCAAAGGCAUAGGAAAUGCAUUAUUGAAUAUUUUGCUGUGCCCUAGCUUUGGGUAAAGGGCUGUUCUUAAUAACUAGUACUAAGAAACUGUGUGGAUUCCCAUUAAUAGUAAGGAAAUUAGAGUUGUUUUCUCAUGAGAACUGAAGGCAUGUCCUCUGCCAUCCAUGUUCCUUUCACUUCUCAGUGAAGACAUAAAGUUAAAACCUCUGGCCAAGGGAAAGGCACACCAUCUGUGACCGCAAAAUACAACGAAAUUAAA
rnacentral:lncRNA from 1 species